GGGCGUGUAGCUCAAAUGGUUAGAGCGCGUCGUUGACAUCGACGAGGUACCCCGUUCGAUCCGGGGCACGCCCA
rnacentral:tRNA from 2 species